rnacentral:rRNA from 1 species
GGUGAGUAACACGUGGGCAACCUGCCCUGCAGACUGGGAUAACUUCGGGAAACCGGAGCUAAUACCGGAUAACACCGAAAACCGCAUGGUUUUCGGUUGAAAGGCGGCUUUUAGCUGUCACUGCAGGAUGGGCCCGCGGCGCAUUAGCUAGUUGGUGAGGUAACGGCUCACCAAGGCGACGAUGCGUAGCCGACCUGAGAGGGUGACCGGCCACACUGGGACUGAGACACGGCCCAGACUCCUACGGGAGGCAGCAGUAGGGAAUCUUCCGCAAUGGACGAAAGUCUGACGGAGCAACGCCGCGUGAGCGAAGAAGGUCUUCGGAUCGUAAAGCUCUGUUGUCAGGGAAGAACAAGUACCGUUCGAACAGGGCGGUACCUUGACGGUACCUGACGAGGAAGCCACGGCUAACUACGUGCCAGCAGCCGCGGUAAUACGUAGGUGGCAAGCGUUGUCCGGAAUUAUUGGGCGUAAAGCGCGCGCAGGCGGUUCCUUAAGUCUGAUGUGAAAUCUCGCGGCUCANCCGCGAGCGGCCAUUGGAAACUGGGGAACUUGAGUGCAGGAGAGGGGAGCGGAAUUCCACGUGUAGCGGUGAAAUGCGUAGAGAUGUGGAGGAACACCAGUGGCGAANGCGGCUCUCUGGCCUGUAACUGACGCUGANGCGCGAAAGCGUGGGGAGCGAACAGGAUUAGAUACCCUGGUAGUCCACGCC